rnacentral:rRNA from 1 species
UGGGGAAUAUUGCGCAAUGGGCGAAAGCCUGACGCAGCGACGCCGCGUGUGGGAUGACGGCCUUCGGGUUGUAAACCACUGUCGCGAGGGACGAAGAUCUGACGGUACCUCGAAAGGAAGCACCGGCUAACUCUGUGCCAGCAGCCGCGGUAAUACAGAGGGUGCGAGCGUUGUCCGGAAUCACUGGGCGUAAAGGGCGCGUAGGUGGCCUGGUAAGUAGGGGGUGAAAUCUCGAGGCUCAACUUCGAGGCUGCCUCCUAAACUGUCAGGCUUGAGCAGAGUAGAGGCAGGUGGAAUUCCCGGUGUAGCGGUGGAAUGCGUAGAGAUCGGGAAGAACAUCGGUGGCGAAGGCGGCCUGCUGGGCUCUUGCUGACACUGAUGCGCGACAGCGUGGGGAGCAAACAG